UUCUUUCAGUUCAGGGCUGUAUACGCAGGUGCGGAAGUGGGUUUGGGGCAGAGACACUGGCGCACGCGCGCUGCUGAUGUUGGUGAUGAAGAUAGUUUUGUUUUUCUGGGAACGUUCUGAGUGAAGAGUGAAGUCGGCUGCAGCUAGAGCUCCAUCUCUCUGAAGUGGAACACAGAUUAAAAAGUGCCCAAGUUGGCUGGUUUCUGGUUGCUGAGCUUGCUGCUGCAGAUCCCCAUGAUAUUGUUUGAUAGCUGUAACCCGCGGAUCUUGGUACUGCCCCUGGAGUAAGGAACAGCUAUUUAACUGAUCCGCCUGUGGUUCAAGACUGGGUGCUGAACAGCAAUCCCUACAACAGACAAGAAUGUGCAGUAGCAGGAAAUCUGCAAGUGAAAGUGCAGCAAAUCCUAGGCAGCUCAAACAGUAUCUCCAGAGAGAGACAGAGAGAGUGCAAUUUCCAGCUCACUGACCUUCGGUCUUCAAUAAACAGCUGCUCCACAGCUUAUCCUUCUCAAUCCAGGAGAGACAAAUGUUUCUCUUGGUUUGAGUUUGAGUAAAUCUUUUAUUGUAACCCCCUGUAAAAGGCAUUUCCUGGGGUCAGCACAAACGGAACCCCAGGAGUUUAUCAUCUGGGCGUGGACAACCUUGACCGGGUAACUGUACCCACUUCAUCUCCAUCUAAAACAACAUCUUUUAGACCAGAUGGAUAAUGCCUAUUUAACAACUCAAUGUCUCUUGGAUCUUGCCUCCUCUAAGUCUCAUAUUGAAAAUUGUUCAGUUGGAUUCACGAUUAAAACCAGCAGAUUCUCCUCCACCUCCACCUCCACGUCAAACUGAUGCAAUUAAAUAAAAACACACAUACAAGACCAGGGACUUUCCUCCUAGUUUUGACCUCACCAAUCAUCAAGUUAAUCCAGGUCAAUUUCACAACCUGUCUUUUUGAUUUUCUGGCUUCUCACUCACUCCCUUUUUUUUGUAGAUCAAUCACAUAAGGUAUUAGUCAGGAAUAAUUAAGUCAGGAACUUAAACCACAAAUCCCAUCAGGAUCUGACAGAGUAACCCAAUUUCUCAGAACCUGAACACCAACUUGAAUUGUGAACAUGGAAGGCUAUAGCACUGUCACAGUGGAGAUAAACUAUACACGUGCUCUGUGUGUGGGUGAGGAUUCAGGCGACCAUCUGGCCUGUAUACAGACAGGUGCAGUCACAAUAGGGAGAAUGCAUGGAAAUGUGGGGACUGUGGGAAAGAAUUCAAUUAUCCAUCCAAACCAGAAAUUCAUCAGUACACUCACACCAAGGAGAGGCCAUUUGCCUGCUCCCAGUGUGGAAAAGGAUUCACUCAGUCAUCUCACCUGCGAGACACCGGUGAGCUCACACUGUGGAAAGUGCUGUAGAAGUUCUGAUGUCUCAUUAACAUGUUCACCCUGAUGAGAGACCACUCAGGUGCUCCCACUUUAGGAAUGGGUUCAGGUGGUCAGAAACUCUCAGAACACCAACAGACCCAUAUUGACGAGAGCCCAUUCCGCCGCCCUGUGAGAGGACAGGGAAUUCAGUCAGACAUCCACUUCGCUUCGACAUCAACAAAUUCAUAAGUAACUACAGUAAUUGGAUUUUUCAGUUAAUCUGGCACUGACCCAUGGUCAUUGUGUUCUGUUUGUGUUGGGGUUAAUUGAGUCCAGCCCAGUCACAGAUGAUGAUAUUCUGGAUGAACGUGAAAUAAAUUCACUUUGUGUUUAAACAUA